UACGAAGGGGGCUAGCGUUGCUCGGAAUCACUGGGCGUAAAGCGCACGUAGGCGGGGUGCUAAGUCAGGGGUGAAAUCCUGGAGCUCAACUCCAGAACUGCCUUUGAUACUGGCGGCCUUGAGUCCGGGAGAGGUGAGUGGAACUGCGAGUGUAGAGGUGAAAUUCGUAGAUAUUCGCAAGAACACCAGUGGCGAAGGCGGCUCACUGGCCCGGUACUGACGCUGAGGUGCGAAAGCGUGGGGAGCAAACAGG
rnacentral:rRNA from 1 species